rnacentral:tRNA from 1 species
GCCGCCUUAGCUCAGUUGGUAGAGCGCAUCUUUCGUAAAGAUGAGGUCCCCAGUUCAAUCCUGGGAGGCGGCU